rnacentral:rRNA from 1 species
UACGGGGGGGGCAAGCGUUGUUCGGAAUUACUGGGCGUAAAGGGCUCGUAGGUGGCCCAAUAAGUCAGACGUGAAAUCCCUCGGCUCAACCGAGGAACUGCGUCUGAGACUGCGGGGCUUGAAUCCGGGAGAGGGAUGCGGAAUUCCAGGUGUAGCGGUGAAAUGCGUAGAUAUCUGGAGGAACACCGGUGGCGAAGGCGGCAUCCUGGCCCAAUACUGACACUCAGGUGCGACAGCGUGGGGAGCAAACAGG